GAGGUACUCCCUCCGUUCGGAAUUACUUGUCUCGAAAAUAGAUGUAUCUAGAACUAAAAUACAUCUAGAUACAUCCAUUUCUGCGACAAGUAAUUCCGAAUGGAGGGAGUAGUAG
rnacentral:pre_miRNA from 1 species